rnacentral:rRNA from 1 species
GACGUAGGGUGCAAGCGUUGUCCGGAUUUAUUGGGCGUAAAGAGCUCGUAGGCGGCUUGUUGCGUCGACUGUGAAAACCCGCGGCUUAACCGCGGGCUUGCAGUUGAUACGGGCAGGCUAGAGUUCGGUAGGGGAGACUGGAAUUCCUGGUGUAGCGGUGAAAUGCGCAGAUAUCAGGAGGGACACCGGUGGCGAAGGCGGGUCUCUGGGCCGAUACUGACGCUGAGACGCGAAAGCGUGGGGAGCAAACAGG